rnacentral:sRNA from 1 species
ACUUUUGCCAGGGGCGAGGGUCGCGGAGGGGACAGCAUCAGGGCGGCUGGGGUGGGGACGGCUGGAGAGGCGCAAACUUUACUAGGAGUUUUUGGCACUUGGAGGCAGAGCCCGUUGGGCGGCACAGCACGCCCGCCGGGAAACGCAGAGGAGCGGCCUGCUUGGCUGAAAACCCGACCAGGACCUAACGGGCCGCGGGACAGAAGCCUCCGAGACCAUGGUAUAGCUGCGGACCAACUGUAUAUGAUCAUGCGCACCUUGGCCAUGCUUGCUCAUAUGUUAGAUUUGAUAUCAUUCGAAGGAUCCUAACCAAGGUUUUUGGAUGCAACAUAGUCAUGGUGAUGGGUAUUACGGAUGUAGAUGACAAAAUCAUCAAAAGAGCCAAUGAGAUGAAUAUUUCCCCUGCUUCCCUCGCCAGUCUUUAUGAGGAAGACUUCAAGCAGGACAUGGCAGCCCUGAAGGUUCUCCCACCCACAGUGUACCUGAGGGUAACCGAAAAUAUUCCUCAGAUAAUUUCUUUCAUUGAAGGAAUCAUUGCUCGUGGGCACGCUUAUUCAACGGCAAAAG